rnacentral:rRNA from 1 species
UACGUAGGGUGCAAGCGUUGUCCGGAAUUAUUGGGCGUAAAGAGCUCGUAGGCGGUCUGUCGCGUCGGCUGUGAAAACCUGGGGCUCAACUCCAGGCCUGCAGUCGAUACGGGCAGACUAGAGUUCGGUAGGGGGAGACUGGAAUUCCUGGUGUAGCGGUGAAAUGCGCAGAUAUCAGGAGGAACACCGGUGGCGAAGGCGGGUCUCUGGGCCGAAACUGACGCUGAGGAGCGAAAGCGUGGGGGAGCGAACAGG